GCUUGCUCAGAUAUGACGAUGGACAUUGCAAAGAGUGGCGAACGGGUGAGUAACACGUGGGAAACCUACCUCUUAGCAGGGGAUAACAUUUGGAAACAGAUGCUAAUACCGUAUAACAAUGACAACCGCAUGGUUGUUAUUUAAAAGAUGGUUCUGCUAUCACUAAGAGAUGGUCCCGCGGUGCAUUAGCUAGUUGGUAAGGUAAUGGCUUACCAAGGCGAUGAUGCAUAGCCGAGUUGAGAGACUGAUCGGCCACAAUGGGACUGAGACACGGCCCAUACUCCUACGGGAGGCAGCAGUAGGGAAUCUUCCACAAUGGGCGAAAGCCUGAUGGAGCAACGCCGCGUGUGUGAUGAAGGGUUUCGGCUCGUAAAACACUGUUGUAAGAGAAGAAUGACAUUGAGAGUAACUGUUCAAUGUGUGACGGUAUCUUACCAGAAAGGAACGGCUAAAUACGUGCCAGCAGCCCGCGGNUUUUCA
rnacentral:rRNA from 1 species